GGUCGUAUAGUGUAGUGGUUAGCACGUGGGAUUUUGAUAUCACGUCAAAUCUUCCCGAGUCCCGAGUUCGAGUCUCGGUAUGACCU
rfam:Pseudomassariella vexata strain CBS 129021 BCR38scaffold_13, whole genome shotgun sequence.